rnacentral:RNase_P_RNA from 1 species
GCCGCAGACCGCCUUAUCGUUCCGAUUUAUCGGGAAGGAAAGUCCGGACACCACAGAGUAGCAUAGCGGGUAACGCCCGUCCGUCGAGAGAUGAGGACAAGUGCAACAGAAAGUAUGUACAGGUAAGGCUGUAGUGAAACCAGGUAAACUCUAUGCGGUGAAAUUCCAAGUAUAUCGGCAUUUAAGGGCUACUCGUCCGUUGUCGAAGGGUAGGAAGCUAGAACCAAUGAGCAAUUGUUGGUCGAGAUAAAUGAUAAGGAUCCCGGUUUAUCGGGAUACAGAAUCCGGCUUACAGGUCUGCUUUUUUU